AUUGCCAGGUGUCAUGUGGGGAAUGGAUGGAGUGUGUUCUUUUGGUCUGACCCUUGGCAUACUGAGUGUUUUCAAGUUAUUUUCCCUCAUCUAUUUUCUUUUGCCAAUGAUCAAUGGAUCACAGUCCAUAAGGUGCUUCAGCAUGAGUAUCUGGAAGAUCUUUUUCACUUACCACUUUCUACUCAAGUUUUUGGUGAAUUUACUCAAAUGGAAGACUUGUGUGACUCACUCUGAAAUUCUGAGCUUAGGGAGAACACAUAUAUGUGGAGCUAUAUCUGGGGCAGUGGGGUGUUUUCUGUUGCCCAAGCAUAUAGAGUGAUUAUGGUUUGCAAGUAG
rnacentral:rRNA from 1 species